GAUGAAGCCCUUGCCGCACUGGGCACAAGUGUAGGGGCGCUCGCCGGUGUGGGUGCGCUGGUGCUCCAGCAGCCUGGUGGAUCUGGUGAAGCCCUUGCCGCACUGGGCACAGGUGUAGGGACGCUCGCCGGUGUGGGUGCGCUGGUGCUCCAGCAGCCUGGUGGAUCUGGUGAAGCCCAUGCCACACGGGAGACAGGU